rnacentral:rRNA from 1 species
GACGUAGGGGGCCAGCGUUGUUCGGAAUUACUGGGUGUAAAGGGUUCGUAGGCGGUGCGGCAAGUCGGGCAUGAAAUCUCUCGGCUCAACCGGGAGAGGUUGUCCGAUACUGCUAGACUUGAGGGCAGUAGAGGGUGGUGGAAUUCCGGGUGUAGUGGUGAAAUGCGUAGAUAUCCGGAGGAACACCAGUGGCGAAAGCGGCCACCUGGACUGCACCUGACGCUGACACGCGAAAGCUAGGGGAGCGAACGGG